UGGGGAAUAUUGGACAAUGGGCGAAAGCCUGAUCCAGCCAUGCCGCGUGUGUGAAGAAGGUCUUCGGAUUGUAAAGCACUUUAAGUUGGGAGGAAGGGCAGUAAGCGAAUACCUUGCUGUUUUGACGUUACCGACAGAAUAAGCACCGGCUAACUCUGUGCCAGCAGCCGCGGUAAUACAGAGGGUGCAAGCGUUAAUCGGAAUUACUGGGCGUAAAGCGCGCGUAGGUGGUUCGUUAAGUUGAAUGUGAAAGCCCCGGGCUCAACCUGGGAACUGCAUCCAAAACUGGCGAGCUAGAGUAGGGCAGAGGGUGGUGGAAUUUCCUGUGUAGUGGUGAAAUGCGUAGAUAUAGGAAGGAACACCAGUGGCGAAGGCGACCACCUGGGCUCAUACUGACACUGAGGUGCGAAAGCGUGGGGAGCAAACAGG
rnacentral:rRNA from 1 species